AAGGUGUUCGUCCGGAAGCUCCGGAAGGCUUAUGGGAAGAGCGAGUGGAACACUGUAGAGCGUUUAAAGGACAAUAAGCCCAACUACAAACUUGACCACAUCAUCAAGGAACGGUACCCCACGUUCAUCGAUGCCCUGCGGGACCUGGACGAUGCCCUCUCCAUGUGCUUCCUGUUUUCCACCUUCCCACGGACUGGCAAGUGCCACGUGCAGACCAUUCAGCUGUGCCGCCGGCUCACUGUGGAGUUCAUCCACUACAUUAUUGCUGCCCGUGCCCUGCGCAAGGUCUUCCUGUCCAUCAAAGGCAUUUACUACCAGGCCGAGGUACUGGGGCAGCCCAUCGUGUGGAUCACUCCCUAUGCCUUCUCCCAUGACGUGAGUGUGCCUGUUGGGAGGGGACGGGCUUGUGCUGCCUCCUAGACAGAUACGGAUGUGGAGGAAGGGGGAUUUUGCUGUCCAUGGAGUUUAGCAAGUGCUGGGUUCCCAACUGUUGACAAGGGGUGAGGCGCGGCA
rnacentral:sRNA from 1 species